UACGAAGGGGGCUAGCGUUGCUCGGAAUCACUGGGCGUAAAGGGUGCGUAGGCGGGUUUUUAAGUCAGGGGUGAAAUCCCGGAGCUCAACUCCAGAACUGCCUUUGAUACUGAGAAUCUUGAGUACGGGAGAGGUGAGUGGAACUGCGAGUGUAGAGGUGAAAUUCGUAGAUAUUCGCAAGAACACCAGUGGCGAAGGCGGCUCACUGGCCCGUAACUGACGCUGAGGCACGAAAGCGUGGGGAGCAAACGGG
rnacentral:rRNA from 1 species